CGUACUGAGACACGGACCAGACUCCUACGGGAGGCAGCAGUGAGGAAUAUUGGUCAAUGGGCGCGAGCCUGAACCAGCCAUCCCGCGUGCAGGAUGACGGCCCUAUGGGUUGUAAACUGCUUUUCUACGCCAAGAAAGGUCCGUACGUGUACGGGAUUGACGGUAGCGUAGGAAUAAGCAUCGGCUAACUCCGUGCCAGCAGCCGCGGUAAUACGGAGGAUGCAAGCGUUAUCCGGAAUCACUGGGUGUAAAGGGUGUGCAGGCGGGGCAACAAGUCGGAUGUGAAACCCCAUGGCUCAACCAUGGAGGUGCAUUCGAAACUGUUGCUCUUGAGUCCCGGAGAGGCUGUCGGAACUCGUGGUGUAGCGGUGAAAUGCGUAGAUAUCACGAGGAACACCAGAGGCGAAAGCGGGCAGCUGGACGGGUACUGACGCUCAGGCACGAAAGCGUGGGGAGCAAACAGGAUUAGAUACCCUGGUAGUCUACGCCGUAAACGGUGGUUACUAGCUGUUCGGGUUAAUUGAGACCUGAGUGGCUAAGCGAAAGUGAUAAGUAACCCACCUGGGGAGUACGUUCGCAAGAAUGAAACUCAAAGGAAUUGACGG
rnacentral:rRNA from 1 species